CAGCAGCCGCGGUAACACGGAGGGUGCAAGCGUUAAUCGGAAUUACUGGGCGUAAAGCGUGCGUAGGCGGUUUGGCAAGUCUUGUGUGAAAUCUUCGGGCUCAACCCGAAGCCUGCACGAGAAACUACCGGGCUUGAGUUCGGGAGAGGUGAGUGGAAUUCCCAGUGUAGAGGUGAAAUUCGUAGAUAUUGGGAAGAACACCAGUGGCGAAGGCGGCUCACUGGACCGACACCGACGCUGAGGCGCGAAAGCGUGGGGAGCAAACAGGAUUAGAUACCCCCGUAGUCCCUGUCUCUUAUAC
rnacentral:rRNA from 1 species